rnacentral:tRNA from 1 species
GUCUAGUUUCAAUUAGUUACGAGUUGUUGAGCCCCUUUCACGGCGGUAACACGGGUUCAAAUCCCGUCGGGGACGCCA